rnacentral:other from 1 species
AGAUCCCUGCUUGGUGCGUGAUAGUUCCCUUUAAACCCACAUCAUUUUUUCGGGACGCCGGACGUUCGCUUCGGAUUGCAGGCCUCCCGUCCUGGCUCUGACCGUGGAUGGAAGUUGGAAGCAGCUAAGAAUCGGAGAGGCGACCCACCUGCCCGUUUCGUGCAGGUUAUAAACGGAGCUACACGGCCAAAGCGGGGAUCUU